GAUGAACGCUGGCGGCGUGCCUAAUACAUGCAAGUCGGGCGAACGGACGAGAAGCUUGCUUCUCUGAUGUUAGCGGCGGACGGGUGAGUAACACGUGGAUAACCUACCUAUAAGACUGGGAUAACUUCGGGAAACCGGAGCUAAUACCGGAUAAUAUUUUGAACCGCAUGGUUCAAAAGUGAAAGACGGUCUUGCUGUCACUUAUAGAUGGAUCCGCGCUGCAUUAGCUAGUUGGUAAGGUAACGGCUUACCGAGGCAACGAUGCAUAGCCGACCUGAGAGGGUGAUCGGCCACACUGGAACUGAGACACGGUCCAGACUCCUACGGGAGGCAGCAGUAGGGAAUCUUCCGCAAUGGGCGAAAGCCUGACGGAGCAACGCCGCGUGAGUGAUGAAGGUCUUCGGAUCGUAAAACUCUGUUAUUAGGGAAGAACAUAUGUGUAAGUAACUGUGCACAUCUUGACGGUACCUAAUCAGAAAGCCACGGCUAACUACGUG
rnacentral:rRNA from 1 species